CCUCUUCGAUCUGCUGCGGGCUGAUGUAGUGAAUAUGGGUGUCGAUGGCGCCGGCGGUGACGAUCUUGCCUUCACCGGCGAUCAUUUCGGUGCCGGCGCCGAUGAUGAUGUCCACAUCGGGCUGCACAUCCGGGUUGCCGGAUUUUCCGAUGCCGCUGAUGCGCCCAUCACGGAUCCCGAUAUCGGCCUUCACGAUGCCCCAGUGAUCGACGAUGAGCGCAUUCGUGAUAACCGUAUCCGCAGUCCCCUCGGCACGGGUCUUCUGUCCCUGCCCCAUGCCGUCACGGG
rnacentral:sRNA from 1 species